GACCGCGUAGCUCAGUUGGAAGAGCAUUGGGCUAGUAUCCAAAGGUUGUAGGUUCGAAUCCCACCGUGGCCG
rnacentral:tRNA from 1 species